GCAUUGGUUGUUCAGUGGUAGAAUUCUCGCCUGCCACGUAGGAGACCUGGCUUUGAUUCCUGGCCAAUGCA
rnacentral:tRNA from 1 species